AUUGAGCGCUGGCGGCAUGCCUUACACAUGCAAGUCGAACGGUAACAGGUCUUCGGGUGCUGACGAGUGGCGAACGGGUGAGUAAUACAUCGGAACGUGCCUAGUAGUGGGGGAUAACUACUCGAAAGAGUGGCUAAUACCGCAUGAGAUCUACGGAUGAAAGCAGGGGAUCGCAAGACCUUGUGCUACUAGAGCGGCCGAUGGCAGAUUAGGUAGUUGGUGGGAUAAAAGCUUACCAAGCCGACGAUCUGUAGCUGGUCUGAGAGGACGAUCAGCCACACUGGGACUGAGACACGGCCCAGACUCCUACGGGAGGCAGCAGUGGGGAAUUUUGGACAAUGGGCGAAAGCCUGAUCCAGCAAUGCCGCGUGCAGAAUGAAGGCCUUCGGGUUGUAAACUGCUUUUGUACGGAACGAAAAGCCCUGGGUUAAUACCCUGGGGUCAUGACGGUACCGUAAGAAUAAGCACCGGCUAACUACGUGCCAGCAGCCGCCGCCG
rnacentral:rRNA from 1 species